GUUCAUGGCAUCAUCGCUAAACACACUCGUACAUUGACCGAGAGUAACCCCUCCGCACAUCCCAUUUGAGACGACCGCAUUAGGAGUACAACUGAAGCAUCAAUGUGUGCUCGAUGUUAUCCCCAUAGCAACAAGAUGCUAUCCAAUCCAGAGUGGUAUCUAGGAGGACACCUGGACCGGUGGAAAGGAGGGAGAUGAGCAGGAGUUAAUCACGUCGUCAUCUGGUACCAUCCUUAUACACUGACUGUGAGGAAACCCACCUGUGCAUUCUAUUUGGGAUGACUGCACCAAGAGUGCAACGGAGGAACCAACUUGUGCUUGAUGUUAUCACCAUGGCAAUGAGAUGCUUUCCGCAUCCAUAGUGGUAUCCAGGAGGAGAGUGGUAUCCAGGAGGAGAGCAGGUCCAUGAGAGAGGAGGGGAGGAGGCAAAGGAUCUCGCCGCCGCCGCCGAGAUGCGUGAAAUCUAAGAAAGAUGAAACUAAGGCAUCUGCUUCAGCUCGUCACGCACGCAGCGAGCUGGAGGGGAAACUUCUCGCCUCCCCCGCUUCUCUGGAUCUCUCUCUCUCUUUACCCCUCCUCCCCAUCUUCCAGAUUCCCCCAGAGGAUGGGCUGAGAUGGGGGAUGCGGUGUUGCGAUGAUGGAGUUAUGGCAUCCGAUAGAGUCCCCCUGAUUAGUCACCUGGUGGUAGUCAACAUCCCAGGAUAGUUCAAGAUUAAUUCCCAAGCGAUGGACUUAAAUUGUUUUCUUUAAUCUUUGGGAUACGUUUAGCAGCUUUUAUUGGAUUUCUGGGUUGACUCUUCAGGUAUUUGUUCUAUUUCAUUACCAUAAUGUGUUCUUGUUAGGCGUUGGCAUCUUCAUUAGCAAAGAUUACUUCAUUCCUGGAAAAUGGGAUUUUUCACAGCUAAAGUCCUUUUAGAAAAAUUGUCUGGAAUAUCAGGUUACUAGAAAUCAAAUUUUAAUUGGAUAAUCCAUCAUCUCCAAUGAGAAGGGAUGACUUAAAAUGAUAAUACUCCCACAAAGAGAUCCAAGUUUGACAUUUAAAUGUAAUUAUGUAAGCUUUGCAUGUUCAAAUAGGAUUCAAAUUACUGUGGGUGAAUACUCCCUCGUCUUGAAGACGUAGUACAUUAGUUUUUUAUGUGUGUGUAUCUAAACGUUAAAAGCUAUAGCAAUUUCUGUUAAGUAUUAAACUACCAAUGUAGCUUGGCAAGCAUUUUACUUUGUUAAUUUUACGUUCUUAGGUAACUCAUCGACAAGAAGGAUGAGAACUGUUUCAUUCAACUUUUCCUUAUCAGAUUUGCAUUUCCGGUACUAACAUUUUUCCUUGAUUUUCAAGACAUAUCAUGUGUAAAUUUCAUUUUCCGUAUUUCAACGAGCAAAAAAAAAAAAAAAUUUGAAGGAAAAUAAUGGAUUGUGCUUCACAACAUUAAGUGGAUUGGAAGGAAAUUGAAACUUUUGUAGUUAUACAAAAAUGAAUUACGAUGUGAAGUACACUUCUUUUGUAUGAAAGAGAAAAAAGGACAGUAAUUCUGUAUUACAAGGAUGAUCUGCAGGCACAAUGGUGCUUGAAAUGUAUUCACUUGUAUUUUUCUCUCAAGAUUUUAGAUGACUGAAAGCUUUUGAAUUAUGAGCAAGGAGCCAUAGAUUGACCCUUGUCCGGCAAUCAUCUUAAAUUAACUCCCACUUGCAAUGUUUGAGGGAUGUCCACUAGCAAUAUUAGUUUGUAGGGGGGCUUAUUGCUGAGAGAGUUAUGAUUAUGAAAGAUUAUAUUUGGACUUUAUUGAAGCUGACAGGCAGUGAUUUACUAUGGAAAUUAUGAAAUUGUACCCCAGUUCAUAGAAAAUAUUGUUAUCAUUAUGAAUAAAUGUUGUUGCGAGGCCUUUUGUAGGACUCUGUUGAACAGGGAAUGGAUAUUAUAAAAGUGACUGCAUGACGAUUUUAAAUUCUGCUGUAGUAUAUAUUUCAUAAAUCUGUUUUACAGUUUUCUUACCUUCAGUAUUGUAUUUAAAAACUUAAGAAACUUUGUCAGCAAAUUUUUGUU